rnacentral:rRNA from 1 species
UACGUAGGAGGCGAGCGUUGUCCGGAAUCACUGGGCGUAAAGCGCGUGUAGGCGGUAGAGUAAGUCGAUAGUGAAAGCGCCGGGCUUAACCUGGCGAGGUCUAUGGAAACUGCUCAACUGGAGGAAGGUAGAGGAAGGUGGAAUUCCCGGUGUAGUGGUGAAAUGCGUAGAUAUCGGGAGGAACACCAGCGGCGAAGGCGGCCUUCUGGGCCUAUCCUGACGCUGAGACGCGAAGGCCAGGGUAGCGAACGGG